rnacentral:rRNA from 1 species
GAUCCUGGCUCAGAAUCAACGCUGGCGGCGUGCCUCAGACAUGCAAGUCGAACGAUUAAGACUCCCUUCGGGGAGUGCAUAAAGUGGCGCACGGGUGAGUAACACGUAAGUAAUCUACCUUCGAGUGGGGAAUAACGUUCGGAAACGGACGCUAAUACCGCAUAACGCAGCGGCAUCGCAAGAUGACAGUUGUUAAAGGAGCAAUCCGCUUGAAGAGGAGCUUGCGGCAGAUUAGCUAGUUGGUAAGGUAACGGCUUACCAAGGCUACGAUCUGUAUCCGGUCUAAGAGGGCGGUCGGACACACUGACACUGAAUAACGGGUCAGACUCCUACGGGAGGCAGCAGUCGGGAAUUUUGGGCAAUGGGCGAAAGCCUGACCCAGCAACGCCGCGUGAAGGAUGAAGUAUUUCGGUAUGUAAACUUCGAAAGAAUAGGAAGAAUAAAUGACGGUACUAUUUAUAAGCUCCGGCUAACUACGUGCCAGCAGCCGCGGUAAUACGUAGGGAGCAAGCGUUGUUCGGAUUUACUGGGCGUAAAGGGCGCGUAGGCGGCGUUGUAAGUCACUUGUGAAAUCUCUGAGCUUAACUCAGAACGGCCAAGUGAUACUGCAGUGCUAGAGUGCAGAAGGGGCAAUCGGAAUUCUUGGUGUAGCGGUGAAAUGCGUAGAUAUCAAGAGGAACACCUGAGGUG